rnacentral:piRNA from 1 species
UCUUGCCUUCACACCAUUUUC